rnacentral:rRNA from 1 species
UACAGAGGUCUCAAGCGUUGUUCGGAUUCAUUGGGCGUAAAGGGUGCGUAGGCGGCGCGGUAAGUCGGGUGUGAAAUCUCGGGGCUUAACUCCGAAACUGCAUUCGAUACUGCCGUGCUUGAGGACUGGAGAGGAGACUGGAAUUUACGGUGUAGCGGUGAAAUGCGUAGAUAUCGUAAGGAAGACCAGUGGCGAAGGCGGGUCUCUGGACAAGUUCCUGAC